AAAUGGACAAGUUAACAUCGGAUCAAAUUCGAAAUAACGAGGAUAGAGAUGUGAGCACCUGAGCACCCCCCCAACGUACCUCUGAACCAGGUCAUACACUGAGCACCCCCCCAACGUACCUCUGAACCAGGUCAUACACUGAGCACCCCCUCAACGUAGUUCUGAACCAGGUCAUACACUGAGCACCCCCUCAACGUAGUUCUGAACCAGGUCAUACACUGAGCACCCCCUCAACGUAGUUCUGAACCAGGUCAUACACAUGGCGGUUUGUAUUUCGGACUACACCAAGCCCCGAGUUUAGGGGUCCGCUGAAUAAAGCUAAAGUCGGUCGAUAAAGAACAGCAACCCAUACGUGGUAUCCAAGAUUUAUUAC